AUGAGACCACAGAGCGUUAGCGCAUUAGCUGCUACAACACUGGUGUUCCUCUCUUUGAUCUGCAACAUCCAGCUUUUGGUCUCCGUCACGGGCUUGUCCAGCUUUGCGAUGGAUAAUUCCCCAAGUAAGCCAGAGCUCGGUGCUGCUGGUGCGGCUGGUAAUCCAGAGGGUGUACUCCCUGAUGUGGCCAACGUUGAGGUCAACAGUGUGCCAGCGGUUGAUGAUCAACACCCAGACCCAGCAGACGUAUUGGCUUGGGCAUUAAGACAGGGUCAAAUUUAUGCGGACCCACUUAUGCAAAGGCUGGAAACUGUUGGAGCACUGCUCGACAUAGAAAUGCAGAUUGUUCCCCCAGUGCCCCACCAAGUGAUCUUGGCUGCACUGGACCAGCUUGCCAUGCUGCCUAUGCCUGCCGCCGAUCCUGCUCCUCCCGAAGCCUCACAAGAGAUUGAUAUAGACACCGAGGGGGUGGAAGGUGACGUGCCGCCACCCCCGGCAAGUCCCUGA
rnacentral:rRNA from 1 species